rnacentral:snoRNA from 1 species
CAGAGGAAAUCCUGACGGGUUGUUUCCAUCUGUCCGGAGGACUGUCUCUACAACUCUG